rnacentral:rRNA from 1 species
CAAACGACUUUCGGCAACGGAUAUUUCGGCUCUUGCAUCGAUGAAGAACGUAGCGAAAUGCGAUACUUGGUGUGAAUUGCAGAAUCCCGUGAACCAUCGAGUCUUUGAACGCAAGUUGCGCCCGAAGCCACUAGGCCGAGGGCACGCCUGCCUGGGCGUCACGC